rnacentral:rRNA from 1 species
UAGGGAAUCUUCCGCAAUGGACGCAAGUCUGACGGAGCAACGCCGCGUGAGUGAAGAAGGUUUUCGGAUCGUAAAACUCUGUUGUUAGAGAAGAACAAGUGCUAGAGUAACUGUUAGCGCCUUGACGGUAUCUAACCAGAAAGCCACGGCUAACUACGUGCCAGCAGCCGCGGUAAUACGUAGGUGGCAAGCGUUGUCCGGAUUUAUUGGGCGUAAAGCGAGCACAGGCGGUUCCUUAAGUCUGAUGUGAAAGCCCCCGGCUCAACCGGGGAGGGUCAUUGGAAACUGGGGAACUUGAGUGCAGAAGAGGAGAGUGGAAUUCCAUGUGUAGCGGUGAAAUGCGUAGAUAUAUGGAGGAACACCAGUGGCGAAGGCGACUCUCUGGUCUGUAACUGACGCUGAGGCUCGAAAGCGUGGGUAGCAAACAGGAUUAGAUACCCUGGUAGUCCACGCCGUAAACGAUGAGUGCUAAGUGUUGGAGGGUUUCCGCCCUUCAGUGCUGUAGUUAACGCAUUAAGCACUCCGCCUGGGGAGUACGACCGCAAGGUUG